AGGUCAACGCCCUGGAAAGCCGGAGAAGUAUCCUCCACUCAUAAUCCUUGGGUCGUGGGUUCAAGUCCCACCCGCCCUACCA
rnacentral:tRNA from 1 species